rnacentral:rRNA from 1 species
ACCGCCGGACGGGUGAGUAAUGCUUAGGAAUCUGCCUAUUAGUGGGGGACAACAUUCCGAAAGGAAUGCUAAUACCGCAUACGUCCUACGGGAGAAAGCAGGGGAUCUUCGGACCUUGCGCUAAUAGAUGAGCCUAAGUCGGAUUAGCUAGUUGGUGGGGUAAAGGCCUACCAAGGCGACGAUCUGUAGCGGGUCUGAGAGGAUGAUCCGCCCCUGGGAAUGAGCCCCGGCCCAGACUCCUACGGGAGGCAGCAGUGGGGAAUAUUGGACAAUGGGGGGAACCCUGAUCCAGCCAUGCCGCGUGUGUGAAGAAGGCCUUAUGGUUGUAAAGCACUUUAAGCGAGGAGGAGGCUACUGAGACUAAUACUCUUGGAUAGUGGACGUUAGUCGCAGAA